ACACACGUGCUACAAUGCCCACCUACAAAGCGAUGCACCGGCAACGGGAGGCUAAUCGCAAAAAGGUGGGCCCAGUUCGGAUUGGGGUCUGCAACCCGACCCCAUGAAGCCGGAAUCGCUAGUAAUCGCGGAUCAGCCAUGCCCGCGGUCCGAAUACGUUCCGGGCCUU
rnacentral:rRNA from 1 species